rnacentral:rRNA from 1 species
CAAUAGCGUAUAUUAAAGUUGUUGCAGUUAAAAAGCUCGUAGUUGGAUUUGUGGCGUAUGGUGGGUUCCGGGCACUUGUUGUCUGAGUAACUUGCUGUUGCCAUCCUUGGGUGGAACCUGUGUGGCAUUAGGUUGUCGUGCAGGGGAUGCCCAUCAUUUACUGUGAAAAAAUUAGAGUGUUCAAAGCAGGCUUAUGCCGUUGAAUAUAUUAGCAUGGAAUAAUGAGAUAGGACUUUUUUGCUAUUUUGUUGGUUUGCGCAAAGAGGUAAUGAUUAAUAGGGACAGUUGGGGGUAUUCGUAUUCCAUUGUCAGAGGUGAAAUUCUUGGAUUUUUGGAAGACGAACUACUGCGAAAGCAUUUACCAAGGAUGUUUUCAUUAA